rnacentral:lncRNA from 10 species
UAAUAAUAAUGGAAAGCCAAUGAAGGUUUCACCAAUAGAUAACAUGGUCAGACUCAUGUAUUAGAAAGAUGUCCCUGUUGUGCUGAGUGGAGAAAGAGAGGGAGGUGAGACUGACAGGAAACAGACCAAUGAUAACGUGUUGCAGUAAUCUAAGUGAGAGAUAGAGACCUGAACUAGGGUAAUAUCAGGGGAGAUGCAGAGAAGUGGCCAGAUUAGAGAGAGAUUUAGGGUUCAGACUAAUCAUCAAUUUGAAUGGAAGUUAGACAGGGGGAAAGACAAGGAUGAUGGCCUGGUUUGUGGCAUGGACAGUUAGGUGCAUGGCAAAAUUAAUUAUUGGAUUAGAGAAUAUAUGAAGAGAAGAAAGACUAGGGAGAAAAGUAGUGAGUUCACUUCUGCAUAUACGUUCAGUUUGAUGUGCCAGUGAGAUAUCUAAGUAGAGACCUCUAGCAGAAGUUGGAUUCCUAGGUCUAUAGUUUAAAAGAAAAAUCACAGCUGAAGAAACAGAACUGUCAGCAUAUAGGAGUCAAAGGGAAUGAAUUUCCCAGGGAAUAUGUUGAGCAUACGAAAUGAUGGAUUAGGAAAGAACCUAUGCCUUGGCAACAUCAUGGGACUUUUUCAAAUUAACUUUCUUCUCUCCAGAGCAACCUACCCCAUACUUUUGAUGCUCCCCACUGCUAGUGGCCUACCUAGUAUUCAUUGUCUCCUUCCGACUAUAUAGAAACUGAUUUUAUCUGGCUGGCAGCAUGUUCAGCUAUAUAAGUUUGAUUUCUAAACUUAUAGAGGUUUUUUUUUUUAAUAAAAAGAUGACAGAAUGUAUACUUUUCUGCUCCUUAUAAUUUUUAUCUAACAAUAUGUAUAUUUUUAUAGUGAAAUUUUAUCUUUCUAUAUUUAAUAGUUGUUUUCAGUCUCCAAACUCCAAAGGCUAUAAAAAUAUUAUUAGUGUUUUCUCUCUACUAAAGCAACUAAUAAAAGUUAAAUCAGGAUAACACAGAGAAGGAUGGGCUGUAAUUUUAGACAGAGUUGUUAGGUAAGGCCUCUCUGCUAAGUUAACAUUUAAGCAGAGACCUGAAUGAAGUGAGGAUAUAAACCAUGUAGAUAGCUGGGGUACUAGUAUCCUAGGCAGUGGCAAUAGUGAGUGCCAAAGUCCUAAAGUAGAAACAUGCUUGUUGUGUUUGAAAUAUAAAGCAAGACUCAGUGUGACUGGAGAGAGUGAAGGAGGGGCAAGUGGAAGGACAUCCCCCAACCUAACAUAUUUUUCUUUUUUAUAGCAGUUAUCACCUUCUAGCAUGUAUGUAUACUAUAUAAAUUUACUUAUUAUAUCUAUAGUGUAUUGUUUCAUAUCAUCCUAUAGCACUAGUUUUUAAAAAAAUCCUUUCUCAGUGGACUAGGGCAACAGAAAUCAAACUUUUCUCUUUCCUUGGCCUUUUACUUCCUUCCUCCAGCCCCUAGGUAGCCUUUCAAUGAUCUGUCUAAAAUGAGAAUCUGAUUUGGUCAUACUGCAGCUUAAAACCCUUUAAUGGCUCCUGACUGCUUAUAACUUUAAGCAUAGUAUAAAGGGCUCCUCAUGACCUAACCACCUCACCAGUAAUCCAAACCCAUCUCCUAUAGCUAGGGCCAGCCAUACCAAAUAUUUAUAGUAUACCGAUGCUUUUAAAACUUUUCUACAAAAUAUUCCUAAUAGCAAAGGAAGGGUGACUUAUUCCUGAUGGACAGAGACGGGAGAGGCACAUUGAAAACACAAACUUCUUUGAAGUUUGUUAUUUCAUCCUAAAAAUUCAUGUGGUCAUUGUACUCAGUUCUGUAACAUAUUUAUAUUUGUUUUAACUUUAAAAAGUUUAAUCCCAGCUGGGCAUGAUGGCACAUGCCUGUAAUCCCAGCACUUUGGGAUGCCAAGGCAGGCGGAUCACUUGAGGUCAGAAGUUUGAGACCAGCCUGGCCAACACGAAAAAACCCUGUCUGUACUGAAAAUAUGAAAAUUAGGCCAGGUGCGGUGGCUCACGCCUGUAAUCCCAGCACUUUGGGAGGCCAAGGCGGGCAGAUCACUUGAGGCCAGGAAUUCAAGACCAGCCUGGCCAACAUGGCGAUACCCCGUUUCUACUAAAAAUACAAAAAUUAGCCUGGCGUGAUGGUACACGCCUGUAGUCCCAGCUACCUGGGUGGCUGAGGCAUAAGAAUAACGAACCUGGGAGGUGGAGGUUCCAAUGAGCCGAGAUUGUGCCAUUGCACUUCAGCCGGGGUGACAGAGUGAGACUCCUUAUCAAAAAAAAAAAAAGAAAGUUUAAUCCCUACAAUAUAGUUGAAUAAAAUAAAUGUUAUAGGAAAAUAGGAAUGUUCAGAUGCAGUCACUGAUUCUGUAAACGCUUCAGCACACUACCACAAAUCCCUGGGUGAACUUGUACUCCUGUUUCAUGUGCAAGAGUUACCAAUUCACACUUCUGUACCUUAACACAGGGGUCCCCAUCCCCCAGACUGGUACAGGUCUGCAGCCUUUUAGGAACUGGGCUGCACAGCAGGAGGUGAGCUGCAGGCAAGUGAGCAUUAUCGCCUGAGCUCUGCCUCUUAUCAAAUCAGCAGUGGCAUUAGAUUCUCAUAGGAGCGCAAACACUAUUGUGAACUGCACAUAUAAGGGAUCUAGGUUGUGUGCUCUUUAUGAGAAUCUAAUGCCUGAUGAUAUGAGGUGGAAUCCCAAAACCAUCCCCUGGCUGUCCAUGGAAAAAUUGUCUUCCACAAAACCGGUCUCUGGUGCCAAAAAGGUUGGGGACUGCUGCCUUAACACAUGCUUCUCUAUAGAUGGAAUAGCCUUUACUUCUCUACCUGUGACAUCUUGUUCAUCUUCAAGACUCUCCUGAAGCCCCUCUAUGAGUCAUCUAAGUAGACAGAGCUUACCCUUGUCUAUAUUACCACUGCUUUUACAUAUUUAUCGCAAGACUUAUAUACUGCAAUUAAUUUUUACAAGUCUGUAUUACUGAUUAGACAAUGAUCUUCUUGAGAUUAGUGGCCAUAUCUUAUUUGCCUGUGUAUAUUAAUGUUAGUUAACAUUUAUUGAGUGUUUACUAUGUGACAAGGGUUUUAUACACAUUAUUUCAUUCAAUCCUCAAACUUAGGAGGUUACUAUAGAGAUAGGGUGUAAGGUCCUUGAGGGCAGGGCUUGUUAUUUUAUUCACUAGUAUAUGUAUCUCUUGUGCCUAGUACAGUGUCUGGAACAUUGAAGGCACUUAAAAAGGGUUUGUUCAGGCUGGGCACAGUGGCUCACACCUGUAACCCUGCCUGAGCUUCACCAAGGCAGGGGCUGAGGUGAGCAGACUGCUUGAGCUCAGGAGUUUUGAGACCUGCCGGGCAACACGGUAAAACCCAUCUCUACAAAAGAUGCAAAACAGCCUGUUGUAGUGGUGUGUGCCUGUAAUCCCAGCUACUUGGGAGGCUGAGGUGGGAGGACUGCUUGAGCCCAGGAGGUCAAGGCUGUAGUGAGCUGUGAUUGAGCCACUGCACUCCAGCCUGGGUGACAGGGCGAGGCUCUAUUUCAAAAAAAAAAAAGGUGGGGAGAUUGUUGAACAACGAGGAAGCCAGCUCAGAGAGGUUAACUAACUUGUCCAGGGUGUACAGUUAGUAAGUGGAGGAGACAGAUUUUAAAUCCAGGUCUGCUUGACUGUAUGUAGAUCAUAAAGUCUUUGCUUUGCUGCCUGUCUCCAAAUUCCAGCUCAGAAUUUGGUACAGAGAAGGCAGACAGUAGACAUCUGUUGAAUGAAAGAAUGUCUUUUACCUUUAGAUUACUUAUUUGCUUCACUCUAGCAUUCCCUUAUUUCUUCAUUUCUCUAUCCUGAUUUUUAAUCUCUAGGCCUAGGACACAAGCCACAGUGGGCAUGGAUAGACCUAGCUUUCAUCCUGCUUCUCUUCUUAUCAAUAAAUAUUACUGCUAUACAUAGGGAAGAAAAUCUUCAUUAGUGGAAAAACACAUGGAUAUUGCACCGGGGUAGUUACUUAGUAAGAGUUGUUUUUUAUUACAUAGUGUCAAAUAGUUCUAAAGCACAAAAUGAAAAACAGAUGGUCAUAAAACUUGUAAAAAUUAACCCAGAAUUUCCAAAUUUUAUAUUUUUGUGGUCAUUAUUUUUCUUUCUUAGUAAAGGCAAACAAGUUUAUAAAAACUGAGGUAUUUAUACAAAUUAACUUCAUUUAUUUAUUAUUAUUUUAAGAGAUAUGUUGCCUGGGCUGGAGUGCAGUGGCACAAUCAUAGUUCACUGCAGCCUCAAACUCCUGGGCUCAAGGGAUCCUCCUGGGCUCAAGGGAUCCUCCUGCCUCAGCUUCCCAAGUAACUAGGAAUACAGGCAUGUUCCACCAUGCCCGAUUUUUUUUUUCUUUUUUUGCUAUGUUUCCCAGGUUAGUCUCGAACUCCUGGCUUCAAGCAAUCCUCCCACCUCAGCCUCCCAAAGGACUGAGAUUAUAGGCAUAAGCCGCUGUGCCUGGCCAACUUUGUUUUUUAUACUGUUAAUAAAACUUUCUAAAUAAAAUAGUAAUUACAUAAUGGCAUCAUUUCAAGUUACAAUAAACAAGAAAGUGAGGAUGUCUUUUCUUUUCUUUCUUUUUUUUUUUUUU